GUUAAAGGGUUUGUUGUCUGGUUCAAGGCCUCCUGCUGUCCUGCAUCACAUUUCUCUUUGUUCUGAAUUUCUGAUGGAUGUGUGCGUGAAUGCAUUGAUGCUGAUGCAUGGCUGGUGGUGACCUCGGACCAGGCUUCAUUCCCUUUAAC
rnacentral:pre_miRNA from 1 species